rnacentral:rRNA from 1 species
UAGGGAAUCUUCCACAAUGGACGCAAGUCUGAUGGAGCAACGCCGCGUGAGUGAAGAAGGUUUUCGGAUCGUAAAGCUCUGUUGUUGGUGAAGAAGGAUAGAGGCAGUAACUGGUCUUUAUUUGACGGUAAUCAACCAGAAAGUCACGGCUAACUACGUGCCAGCAGCCGCGGUAAUACGUAGGUGGCAAGCGUUGUCCGGAUUUAUUGGGCGGAAAGCGAGCGCAGGCGGAAUGAUAAGUCUGAUGUGAAAGCCCACGGCUCAACCGUAGAACUGCAUCGGAAACUGUCAGUCUUGAGUGAAGAAGAGGAGAGUGGAAUUCCAUGUGUAGCGGGGGAAUGCGUAGAUAUAUGGAAGAACACCAGUGGCGAAGGCGGCUCUCUGGUCUGCAACUGACGCUGAGGCUCGAAAGCAUGGGUAGCGAACAGG